rnacentral:rRNA from 1 species
UACGUAGGGGGCGAGCGUUGUCCGGAUUUACUGGGCGUAAAGAGCGCGUAGGCGGAAAUCUAAGCGUGGCCUGAAAGCCCCCGGCUCAACCGGGGAGUGCGGCUGCGAACUGGGUUUCUUGAGGACGAUAGAGGAGAGUGGAAUUCCUGGUGUAGCGGUGAAAUGCGUAGAUAUCAGGAGGAACACCCGAGGCGAAGGCGGCUCUCUGGGUCGUACCUGACGCUGAGACGCGAAAGCGUGGGGAGCAAACAGG